rnacentral:lncRNA from 1 species
UACUUCUGCUUCUCUAACCUGAAGCAACUUUAGGAUUUCUUUCAUGGAUUUUUGCUUAACCUCGAUAUUGGAAGUUUGAUGUGGUACAGGUACACGAGUCGCUAGGAAUAGGGCUUGGGACUGUCUACGCAGUGCAAACCACUAGGACAGAGCCCCAGCCUAUUGUUUUCCAGCAUGUUUGGGUGGAUUAAAAAUUCCUUGAUUUUCAUUUAUCAAUUCCAUUGCAUGUUGAUAUUCUAUUGUGUGCAAUUCAAUUUGUGUUUGCAUAUUUUAUUGCAUGCGGCUAUCGGGACUAGUGAUGUGAAAGGUAAACUUUAAAUAUGCACUAAUGAAACUAAAACGCGAUAAAUAAAUUAAUUGAGUAAAGAGGAUGGCUAAUGAGAUAGUAGAUUACAUUAAGCUUGAGAGAUUAG